rnacentral:lncRNA from 1 species
GUUAUGUGUGUGAGGUCAGUGUAUGAGGAAUGAUAGCUGUGUGUUUUUCUCUUCUUUCUAUGUGUGUGGUAGAGAGCAGAUACAAAUUUUGUGUUGUGCCCUCUGAUUUGUAUGAUAUGUGUGGGUAUAUGAAUGUAUAUCACUCUCUUUUGGGUAUUUGUUGUGUAUGUGUAUUCUGAAUGCUCUGUAACUAUGGUGUGUCACCCUAUAUGUGUAAUCUCUCUGAUUUUCUUGCGGCUGUCCCCCUUUUGUAUGUGAUAUAUGGCCCUUUUAUAGCUGGUUGUUGAUGUGAAAAGCCUUCUGAGUUGUUCUUUUUAAGCUUAGUAUCGUGUCAUGCCCUUUCCUUUCUGAUUUCAAUACUUUAAUUGCCCAUGAAUGCUGUCAAUGAUGGCUGAUCUGUAACUAUCAAUGCCUUGAAACUUAGCUGUUUGAAAAACCAGGAUGUGUAACUGAAUGAAUAUGCCACAUUUUGGCAUUCCCUUUGAUAUUCACGGCUGUUUCAAUAUUACUGCAUCUAUGCCCCAAUAUGUAAUUGUCUAAAAAACUUACCCUUUGAUCUCUUUUUACAGGAAUGACUAUCAGAGACAUCAUCAACACUUUUUUAGGUGAAGAUCAUAUUCAGUAAAUCAUCAGUCAACAAGCAGAAUGUUACAUAAGAUGAUAAGAGGGACAAAUAAUUAGUUUUAUCACUGAAAACAAACUGAGUAUAUAGGCAAAUAGGUUAGAUUUGUUCAGUUACCUAUAUAGGUGAGAUUUAAAUCACAUACAUUGAACCGAUUGGCAAGUAAUAAUCCUUUUGUACAAUAUACAAGCCCCUGAGGCAGGUAAUGUUUAUGAACAUCCAAGUACUAUUCAAUGUGAUCUAAUAUAGUAAACAAAAUUGACACUCAUAAUAGACUAUUUACAUAAACUCCAACGUGGUCCCUUCCAGUACCAGUAUUGACAAAUGGAUCCUAUUUUCUUGUAAUUAUCCAUGACUUCAAUCUAACAAUGAAUCCAUGACCUCAAUCUAACAUCAUGUUCGCAAGGACGUUAUUGUCACAAAGGGAUUUGACUUCUUGCCACUUCCUUAACAAGUACUAUAACUAUAUUCCCGCUUUUUAUAAUUUUUGUUGUUUUUUUGUAUUUUAACUUAUGUGAUAAAUGGCCGUACAAAAUUGAGUGUUCACAAAUAGAGUCCCCAUGGCUAAAAGC